rnacentral:rRNA from 1 species
AGUGAACGCUGGCGGUAUGCCUAAUACAUGCAAGUCGAACGAACAGACAAGGAGAUUGCGCCUCUGCGGGUAGCGACUGACGGGUGGGUAACAAGUAGAUCGCAUACCUCUAAUUCUUGGGUGACAACGGGGAACAGCUGCUACUAACAGAUAAUAUGUUGAACGGGAUGAAGCAAUAGUGCAUCAGACUUUUCGCGACUGUUUGAGAUGGAUCCGCGCCGCAUUAGCUAGUUGGUAAGGUAACGGCCUACCAAGGCAACGAUGCGUAGCCGACCUGAGAGGGUGAUCGGCCACACUGGAACUGAGACACGGUCCAGACUCCUACGGGAGGCAGCAGUAGGGAAUCUUCCGCAAUGGGCGAAAGCCUGACGGAGCAACGCCGCGUGAGUGAUGAAGGCCUUCGGAUCGUAAAACUCUGUUAUUAGGGAAGAACAAAUGUGUAAGUAUCUAUGGCUGUCUUGACGGUACCUAAUCAGAAAGCAACGGCUAACUUCGUG